rnacentral:rRNA from 1 species
AUUGAACGCUGGCGGCAGGCCUAACACAUGCAAGUCGAGCGCGCGGCGGACGGGUGAGUACUGUAUGGGGACUGCCCGCUAGAGGGGGAUAACUCCUGUCAACGGUAGCUAAUACCGCAUACUAUCGGCUACCCCAUAUGGGAUUAGCUAGUAGGUGUGGUAAUGGCUCACCUAGGCGACGAUCCCUAGCUGGUCUGAGAGGAUGAUCAGCCACACUGGGACUGAGACACGGCCCAGACUCCUACGGAGGCAGCAGUGGGGAAUAUUGCACAAUGGGCGCAAGCCUGAUGCAGCCAUGCCGCGUGUAUGAAGAAGGCCCUAGGGUUGUAAAGUACUUUCAGUAGGGAGGCGUUACCGACAGAAGAAGCACCGGCUAACUCCGUGCCAGCAGCCGCGGUAAUUC